rnacentral:rRNA from 1 species
AUACGUAGGGGGCGAGCGUUGUCCGGAAUGAUUGGGCGUAAAGGGCGCGUAGGCGGCCCGGUAAGUCUGGAGUGAAAGUCCUGUUUUUAAGAUGGGAAUUGCUUUGGAUACUGUCGGGCUUGAGUGCAGGAGAGGUAAGUGGAAUUCCCAGUGUAGCGGUGAAAUGCGUAGAGAUUGGGAGGAACACCAGUGGCGAAGGCGACUUACUGGACUGUAACUGACGCUGAAGCGCGAAAGUGUGGGGAGCAAACAGGAUUAGAUACCCUGGUAGUCCACACUGUAAACGAUGAAUGCUAGGUGUAGGGGGUAUCGACCCCUUCUGUGCCGCAGUCAACACAAUAAGCAUUCCGCCUGGGGAGUACGGCCGCAAGGUUGAAACUCAAAUGAAUUGGCGGGG